rnacentral:lncRNA from 12 species
GGCGCGGGGCGCACGCGGGAAGCGGGCCGGCGAGGGACUGACGUGGGGACCGGGAGCCCCGUGUUAUUUUCAGAGUCCAGGUGGAAUCUAACUGAAACAAUGCCAAGAGAAAAGGAGGGAAAACAAAAAACUAAAGGAACACCCCUGCCCAUCAUUCCAAUUCUUCAAAAGUUCCUGAAAGCAUAUGAGAAGCACUGUGCACAGACUCAGACCUCUGUCUGUGCAGCCAUCAAACAGGACUUGAAAACCAGCAUCAACAAUGAACGGAUUCUCAGGAAAUUUAUGCUCGUAAGACCUAGAGACUCCCCACCAAGCACCCUACCAAUUUCCUUGGAACCUUUGCUCAUCACAAUUCAAGAUGAGUGUUAUAUGCUGGGGAAAGAGAUUUGUAUCUGGAGCCUUCAACUGAGCAACCCAGAGAUUGCCAGACUGGCUUCGCUUCUGGAGUUGAAGGGCCGUGCCUGCCCAUUUACCAGCCUGGAGCUCAUUGAUUGCAGGAUGGAUCUGUGGUCUCUCCGGAGACUCGGGAGGGCUCUGCUAGGCAGCUGUCUGCAUUCUCUUGUCCUUGAUUACUGCAGGUUUGGAAACGAAGAAAUUGAGAGUAUUUUCUCAGGCCUGGAGCACAAUCAAAGGCUUCAAGUCCUCAGUCUGCGCUACUGUGGUCUGGGGCCACAGAGCGGGCCACGGCUCGGUGCCAUCAUAAGCCAGAGCUCCAUUUGUGAGCUGCACCUUGACGGCAAUUACUUACAGUGCUCUGGAGCUGUGGCUCUCCUCAGACCCAUAGCAGAGUAUGCAGAGAUGCAGGGGAGAGACCAGCCGGCCACAUCCCCACCAGUCCCCAAGAGUCCCCCUCAGCAGCUGCAGGUCAGACAGAAGGGAAGUUCAACUUUGAACCAGACUACAAAGUCACCUGGAGCUGUAACACGGAAGACUACUUCAGGGAAGGAGAGAAGAAAAGCACUGACACUGAACUUUAUGAAAGCUGAAUAG